GAGACUCAACGACCACAAUAUCAAAUAUACUCCAAGAAUUUUGUGGGUCUAACAUAAUACAAGAUUGUCAUUAAAUUUCAUAUCUUGUACUUUCAAAUUUAAAUUAGAUAGUAAGUCUAAUUUUGUCUUUAUCACAAGUAAAGAACCCCCACAUUUUAAAUAUGUUCUCAAAAAUAUUUUUCAAGUAUUUGAAAUUAUUUUCCACAUAUUUUUUUCCAUGCUUACACAUUGGCAACACGAAGCCUUCUUUUGAAGAUUUAAU
rnacentral:lncRNA from 1 species